rnacentral:rRNA from 1 species
UUUGCCAAUGGGCGCAAGCCUGAUGCAGCGACGCCGCGUGAGGGAUGACGGCCUUCGGGUUGUAAACCUCUUUCAGCAGGGAAGAAGCCACAAGUGACGGUACCUGCAGAAGAAGCGCCGGCUAACUACGUGCCAGCAGCCGCGGUAAUACGUAGGGCGCAAGCGUUGUCCGGAAUUAUUGGGCGUAAAGAGCUCGUAGGCGGUUUGUCGCGUCUGCUGUGAAAGCCCGGGGCUCAACCCCGGGUCUGCAGUGGGUACGGGCAGACUAGAGUGCAGUAGGGGAGACUGGAAUUCCUGGUGUAGCGGUGAAAUGCGCAGAUAUCAGGAGGAACACCGAUGGCGAAGGCAGGUCUCUGGGCUGUUACUGACGCUGAGGAGCGAAAGCAUGGGGAGCGAACAGGAUUAGAUACCCUGGUAGUCCAUGCCGUAAACGUUGGGCACUAGGUGUGGGGGACAUUCCACGUUCUCCGCGCCGUAGCUAACGCAUUAAGUGCCCCGCCUGGGGAGUACGGCCGCAAGGCUAAACUCAAAGGAAUUGACGGGGGCCCCGCACAAGCGGCGGAGCAUGCGGAUUAAUUCGAUGCANCGCGAAGAACCUUACCAAGGCUUGACAUCCCCCGGAACCGCACUGGAAAACAGUGCUUCCCUUCGGGGCUGGUGGACAGGUGGUGCAUGGUUU